rnacentral:lncRNA from 1 species
CAAAUUAAAUAGAUAAAUAAAUAAAUUCUGUCAGUAAUUCAGUGUAUAAAUAAUUAGUCCAUUACAAGAAGAUCAACCUCAUGCAAUUGUGCAUGGUGUUUAAUUCUAGCUUCUUUUAGAAGAAAAAAAAAAAAAUCCUAUAUCAAGAAUCAACAUCUCCCGCCAUUUCUCGCGGAUCCAUUGCUGCAACCAGAGUGAUUUGAGGUAGAACGUAAGGCUCGUCGUAGAAACAAAUCAUGGCUGAUGCCAAAUAUCGACUCUCCUCUGAACUCUAUCCAUCUCAGAGGUCUUGCGUCUACAUAAGGCGCCUCUCCGGUGAGAGCCAUGAAGAAACAAAGAACGUAGACUGUGACCAUCAACUGGUUCGUAUUGGCAAGUCCGGUCACCAUGAUCGUCAGUAGAGGGAAUUGGAUGAAAAAUAGAAAGGAGUUUCAGUGUUUAUAUAGAGAGAUGAGAUAAAUAAUUUGAAUUGAAAGUUUCUUGUUCAACAUUUUGACCCGGCCGGAGGUUUAAUUUGUUUGUUCAAACUUCAAAGUAGAAAUUAAACACGUUGACGGAUUGAUUAAAAUUCAAGGCUUCAACAACCUAACAAUUAACAUGAUCGAUUAGAUUAAUUAAAACGUUUCUCAUUAAUAUAUCUCAUAAAAUACUUUAUUGAACGCCAAUUAAGAUCGAUCGAUCGAUCGAUCGAUCGAUCAUUGUAUUUAUAUAAUAUAUGAUAAAAUAAAUUUGAAUAGAAAAUUACAAAUUUUUAUCUAACUUAUAAGUUAUAUUGUAUAUAUUGAUUGUAAUCAAUAUAUCAUUUGCAAGGUUCACCGUUGAUGGCAGAACCAUUAGUGCAGCCGGAAGAACCGGACCCCGAGUGUUGUAAAAUCUGGAACAACGACAAAAACCCAUUCUCGGCAACAGGUUGAAACGUCGUCGAUCUUUUGCGUUCGAAUUUAAGAGGCCUUGCGUCCGCCGUAAUCUGUGGUCUCAUCAUGAGUAGUGUUGCUAUGAGAAAGAUAUAAAGAACACGCACCAAUCUGGUCGUCGUUCUCAUGAUAUGUUCCAAUUAGUGGAAUGGUGGGUACCUGGGAAAAGAUCGAUGGACGUUGGAUUAUAUAUAUAGAUGGAUAAUAUUCGAAACUGGUUAAGGUAGGUGGGUGAUUGUUGAAAGUCCAGAUGGUUUGACUUUCAACAUUAUUUUCCGACAUUGAUCUAUUGAGGUUUUAUGUUGACUAAAUAAAACACGGUUCGAUCACAUGUUGAUUGGGUCCAUGGUGUUCUAUUUCUAUAUAUUUUUCUCAACACAAAAAGUCAAUAUUUUAUUGUUGAAAAAUGAAUAUAUAUUGAUUUAUUUAUCUUAUUUUAUUCAAGAUUGAAGACUUUAAAUUCAUAUCAUUGUCAAUCCGUACUCAGGCAGUUAGGCUUGGUUUUUUAAUCAACUUUUCAUUUAAUUAUUUUUUAAUUAUAAACAAAAUGUACAAUUUUUAAUAAAAAUGAACUUGAUUGAAUUUGAUUUUUUUAGAAAAUUUAAUAAAAAUACCUAAAGACUCAUUUUUGGACACAUAUAUAAUUAAUUUUCAAUUUUCUAAUUUACACACCUCUUGAAAAUAUGUAUUUUCUUGGUUCCUAAAUUGGAACACACUUGUAUGAACACUUUGCUGGUUGUCUUUUAACAAAAACAUUUAGAAAUUCAUUCCUGAUAUGAAAAUGCACCUAUACCUUCAACUUGUGUAUUAAGAGAUUCAUGAAAAUUACAUACAGUUGAAUCAAAAAAAACAUUGAAGAUCACAGUUUGUAGCUAGAAAAAUGUUUUUAAUAAAAAUCGAUCUAUAUAUAUAUCAAAAAAUUAAAAUUAGAAUAUAUACCGGGUAUCUUGAAUAAUUGGAUUCACUGGUAAGUUUGUUAGACGCGAUGCGGAAACACGAUGCCGGAUUGAGUUCUGAGGGUAGCAAGAAAAGGAGCUUGUAAGUUGCAAUCUCCGAUGAUCAAUUUGGUUGAAGAUCAGUGGAGGAGGGUUCUUGCGUGAAUGGAGUUUGUUUGAUUGCUUCGGUGCCUUUAUUGAAUUUUAAAAAGGAUGUUUAACUAUAGUUCGUUAUAAACGGUUACUCUAAUAUUACAGGAGAUAGAAAAUGUAUUUACCGAAGGUUCUCUAUG